ACCAGCCAGAAAUUUUCAGAUGCAAUGAAGAGAUUCAUGAAAUUGGCUGAGGAGGAGAUCAUAAGGAUUCAAGCCCAUGAAAGUGUAGCCUUGUCUCUAGUGAAAGAGAUCACGGAGUACUUCCAUGGGAAUUCAGCGAAGGAAGAAGCUCACCCUUUCAGAAUUUUCAUGGUGGUGAGGGAUUUUCUUACUGUUCUUGAUCGGGUCUGCAAAGAAGUUGGUAUGAUAAACGAGCGUACAAUAGUUAGUUCUGCCCACAAGUUUCCAGUUCCAGUAAACCCAACUCUUCCGGUUCCAGUAAAUCCAACUCUGCCACAGGAAUUAUCUGGACCCAAUGCUAGGAAGCAGUACAGUUUCUCUGAUGAUGAUAGUGCAUCUCCUUAGCAUUUAUGGCUUGUAUGAGGUUGAAUUUUUGUUGCAUUUAGGCAGAAACUGCCUAAGGUUGGUGGUUUGGGUUGGCUGGGUUUUGCAGGGGCAUGGCUGCCAGAUUCCUGUAAUUUAUUAUUUUU
rnacentral:misc_RNA from 1 species